AACGAACGCUGGCGGCAUGCCUAACACAUGCAAGUCGAACGAGACCUUCGGGUCUAGUGGCGCACGGGUGCGUAACGCGUGGGAACCUGCCCUUAGGUUCGGAAUAACUCCCCGAAAGGGGUGCUAAUACCGGGUAAUGUCUUCGGACCAAAGAUUUAUCGCCUUUGGAUGGGGCCGCGUUGGAUUAGCUAGUUGGUAGGGUAAAAGCCUACCAAGGCGACGAUCCAUAGCUGGUCUGAGAGGAUGAUCAGCCACACUGGGACUGAGACACGGCCCAGACUCCUACGGGAGGCAGCAGUGGGGAAUAUUGGACAAUGGGCGAAAGGCUGAUCCAGCAAGGCCGGGUGAGUGAUGAAGGGCUUAGGGUUGUAAAGCUCUUUUACCCGGGAUGAUAAUGACAGUACCGGGAGAAUAAGCUCCGGCUAACUCCGUG
rnacentral:rRNA from 1 species